AUUGAACGCUGGCGGCAGGCCUAACACAUGCAAGUCGAGCGAGCGGCGGACGGGUGAGUAAUGUCUGGGGACUGCCCGAUAGAGGGGGAUACCUACUGGAAACGGUGGCUAAUACCGCAUACUGUCGUAUAACCCAUAUGGGAUUAGCUAGUAGGUAAGGUAAUGGCUUACCUAGGCGACGAUCCCUAGCUGGUCUGAGAGGAUGAUCAGCCACACUGGGACUGAGAAACGGACCAGACUCCUACGGAGGCAGCAGUGGGAAAUAUUGCACAAUGGGGGCAAGCCUGAUGCAGCCAUGCCGCGUGUAUGAAGAAGGCACUAGGGUAGUAAAGUACAUUAAGUCAGAAGGCGUUACCGACAGAAGAAGCGCCGGCUAACUCCGUGCCAGCAGCCGCGGUAAUUC
rnacentral:rRNA from 1 species